GCCUGGCUAGCUCAGUCGGUAGAGCAUGAGACUCUUGGGUAGUGGGUUCGAGGCCCACGUUGGGCG
rnacentral:tRNA from 1 species